GGGGGUUUUUCCUUGUCUUCUGGCGAGUUAAUGGAUGUUGAGAGAUCUUUUCGCUGAGCAUCAAUAUUUUCUAGAAUCUCUGGUUGCAUUAUUAAGGCCAGGUGAAGAUACGAGAAUCGCUUCCAUUAAAAUUGACCUCAAAGGUACUUUCACGUUUACAAGGAGACAGAGGUUUCAUAAAGUUUAGCGUGUGGUAAAACUUUGGAUCAGUGAUUGGGAUGUCCAAACCCGAGUGAAGCUAAAGCAAAAUAGAGAUUUCAUUUGAAGAUUUUUGGCACUAUAAGAGAUUUGAAGCUUCUAUUCAUAGGUUUCGAGAUGCCUUGAGACUUGCUUUUUUUUAAAGAGGAUAUCCAUAUUUGAGGUCUUUUCAAGGUUCUUUGGUUUAACUGUAGGGGAUGAUGGUGAUUUUUGAUUUUGUUAUGACUCUUUUGCGAUUAAGCGGCAGGGGAAUGAUCUCAUCUAAAUCUCAGAGUAGAGAACCGUACUUGGAAGACUCUGCAGCUUUAUUCAACAGAUCUCUGAUUACUUCGGUGGUGUUGGGGAAAAAAGAAAUUGGUGGUUUCAGUUUCUGGAAAUGAGGAAUACAAGAACUCAUAAGUCAUAAGAGUGUGGUCAGAGAACUGAGGUUACAGUUUAAGGAAUGGAAGAAAUAUUUUGGAAGGAUCAUAGUGUUCACGGUGUCUAUAAUAACGGAUUGUUGCAGUCAGUUAUUCUCAUACAAUUGAGUUAAGCAAAAAGAGGCACUUACACUCUAUCUGGUUUAUUGAGGAUGAUUAGAAGUAACUGU
rnacentral:lncRNA from 1 species